GUUUAAAUAGUUUAAAUAAAACGUUGGUUUGUGGUACCCAGAAAUAUGAAAUUUAUUCAUUUUAGAC
rnacentral:tRNA from 1 species